AUGCUACACAAGGAGUGAGGAUCAACUUGCGGAUGUGUUCACCAAGGCUGCAAGACAAAAGACUAUGGAGUCCAUUCAUACAAUAUUGGGACUCAUAGAUCUUUCCUCAAGGAGCUGAUCCCCUUUGCCAUGAGGUCUUUACUCUUUUUCCCUCAUCAAGGUUUUGUCCCAAUGGGUUUUCCUUGGUGAGGUUUUUAAUGAGGAAGAUCUCAUGGCUGUUCCAAGUUUGAAUGGAUUCUAGAAUUCAAGCUUGAGGGGGAGUGUUGAAAUGAGUUGAGUAUAAGCAAGGGAAGUGAUGGGGUAUAAGGAAGCAUUAUGAGAAGGAUGUGUUAAGGAAGGGAUGAGGUAUAAGGUCGACCAGUCCGUACAAUCCGUACUGACCGUACUGGCCGUACAGGCCGUACCUUCUCGGGUCGACCCAUCAUCAACCAAAACUUACCAUCCUUACCCAAGUUACUUUGGAGAGUUACCUUGAGUGUUAAUGAGUCUUGUGACCGUUGAAGGGAAGAAAGGAGACGCGGAGAAGACAGGCUGGCAUAGCUGUAAAGUGAUCAGCAUCUUGGAAUAUGCUGAAAGUGUGUGAAGCACUCCAUUGGCUAGUUCAAACCAUCCGCUCCCUUUAGCUUUGACUACACAUGCUUUGCCUUAUCUCUUAUGCUGAAACCCUAGUCUUUCCUUAGCUAUAUAUUGUAAACUCUGCCUUGAUUAAUGAUUAACACGAGUUUAUGAGUCUCUCUCUCUAGUUCAUCAUGAUAAUCUCAUACACUUUCUCCUAAACACUCUAAUCUCUCUUGAAUCUCUCUUAGACUUCUCAAUACCUUUCAUAUUCUCUAAAGUCAUAGUAGAAUCACCAGGAAGUUGAAUAAAUCUCAUAGGAGUUGGGAUGAAGAAGUUAUCCCACUUUCUAAUCAGGUGAAUCCAGUUUCCCAGUUUGGGAAUAGGACAGCUUCUCCGUCGUUCCUAUCAAACCAGGAUCAAUUACUUUGUAAGAAGCUUGAUUUGGAUACAUAAAGUGUUGGAGAAUCACCAGGAAGUUGAAUAAAUCUCAUAGGAGU